AGAGUUUGAUCAUGGCUCAGGAUGAACGCUGGCGGCGUGCUUAACACAUGCAAGUCGAACGAGGUCCAACCUUCGGGUGAAGACCGAGUGGCGAACGGGUGAGUAACACGUGGGGAACCUGCCCUUCUCUCUGGGAUAACUCCGGGAAACCGGAGCUAAUACUGGAUACUCCUUGCGGAUCGCAUGGUCUGCUCGGGAAAGCUCCGGCGGAGAAGGAUGGCCCCGCGGCCCAUUAGCUUGUUGGUGGGGUAACGGCCUACCAAGGCGACGAUGGGUAGCCGAGCUGAGAGGCUGAUCGGCCACACUGGGACUGAGACACGGCCCAGACUCCUACGGGAGGCAGCAGUGGGGAAUCUUGCGCAAUGGGCGAAAGCCUGACGCAGCAACGCCGCGUGCGGGAUGAAGGCCCUCGGGUCGUAAACCGCUUUCAGCAGGGAUGAAGAUGACAGUACCUGCAGAAGAAGCCCCGGCUAAAUACGUGCCAGCAGCCGCGGUAAUACGUAUGGGGCAAGCGUUAUCCGGAUUCAUUGGGCGUAAAGCGCGCGUAGGCGGCUUGUUAAGUCAGGCGUGAAAUCCGGGGGCUCAACCCGCGGCUUGCGUCUGAAACUGGCAGGCUUGAGUCUGGUAGAGGAAAGUGGAAUUCCUGGUGUAGCGGUGAAAUGCGCAGAUAUCAGGAGGAACACCAGUGGCGAAGGCGGCUUUCUGGGCCACGACUGACGCUGAGGCGCGAAAGCUAGGGGAGCGAACAGGAUUAGAUACCCUGGUAGUCCUAGCCGUAAACGAUGGGCACUAGGUGUGGGGGGUCAUCGACUCCCUCCGUGCCGAAGCUAACGCAUUAAGUGCCCCGCCUGGGGAGUACGGCCGCAAGGCUAAAACUCAAAGGAAUUGACGG
rnacentral:rRNA from 1 species